rnacentral:ncRNA from 2 species
UGAAAGUCCCGGACGGAAACCGCGAAUAAGCCAUGCUUGCAUAGAGCGAAUUCACAGGCAUCGAACGGGCAAACCGGUAUGAGCAAAGAACGCGAUAGCGCGAAUAGCGAAUGCAGGCAACGAUAGCGGGAGCACCAAAGGUACAGAGCAAUCGGAUAACA